rnacentral:rRNA from 1 species
UACGUAGGGCGCAAGCGUUGUCCGGAAUUAUUGGGCGUAAAGAGCUCGUAGGCGGCUUGUCACGUCGAUUGUGAAAGCCCGAGGCUUAACCUCGGGUCUGCAGUCGAUACGGGCUAGCUAGAGUGUGGUAGGGGAGAUCGGAAUUCCUGGUGUAGCGGUGAAAUGCGCAGAUAUCAGGAGGAACACCGGUGGCGAAGGCGGAUCUCUGGGCCUUACCUGACGCUGAGGAGCGAAAGCGUGGGGAGCGAACAGG